GACGAACGCUGGCGGCGUGCCUAAUACAUGCAAGUCGAGCGAAUCAAAGGGAGCUUGCUCCCUUUGGUUAGCGGCGGACGGGUGAGUAACACGUGGGCAACCUGCCUGUAAGACUGGGAUAACUUCGGGAAACCGGAGCUAAUACCGGAUAAUUCCUUUCCUCCCAUGAGGAAAGGCUGAAAGACGGUUUACGCUGUCACUUACAGAUGGGCCCGCGGCGCAUUAGCUAGUUGGUGAGGUAACGGCUCACCAAGGCAACGAUGCGUAGCCGACCUGAGAGGGUGAUCGGCCACACUGGGACUGAGACACGGCCCAGACUCCUACGGGAGGCAGCAGUAGGGAAUCUUCCGCAAUGGACGAAAGUCUGACGGAGCAACGCCGCGUGAGUGAUGAAGGUUUUCGGAUCGUAAAACUCUGUUGUUAGGGAAGAACAAGUAUGAAAGUAACUGCUCGUACCUUGACGGUACCUAACCAGAAAGCCACGGCUAACUACGUGCCAGCAGCCGCCGUAAAAC
rnacentral:rRNA from 1 species